CCUACGGGAGGCAGCAGUGGGGAAUAUAGCGCAAUGGGCGAAAGCCUGAUGCAGCGACGCCGCGUGAGGGAUGACGGCCUUCGGGUUGUGAACCUCCUUCAGUAGGGAAGAAGCGAAAGUGACGGUACCUGCAGAAGAAGCGCCGGCUAACUACGUGCCAGCAGCCGCGGUAA
rnacentral:rRNA from 1 species